AUGAUUGGCUAAAAUAAAAAGGCGUCUGACGUCACUACGUUGCCACGCUUUUCGCUAAAAAACAAACAAACAAAAAAGCCUAUAAACACAAAAAUAUUAUGACCAGUAAAUACAUAAAUUACAGGUUGGAUGUUUGUGAAGUUUAUUUACCCUGCAGACAGUUUUCCUGCUCUCCUGUUGGUCAAAUGAACCUCUACACAUGGGAUUAUCUCCAGAUUAAAGAGGUUUCCUGAUGAUCGUUUAUAGUUUGGGGAUAAAUCACAACAUCUUCAACUGCAAGAAGUUCUGAGCUGCAUCAAACAAAACCCAAACUACCAGGAGAACAGAGGAACUCGCUUAGAAGAACCGUCUCUCCGUGCAGCUUCAUGCUGCUCCACCUCAUCUGUGUAGACGGAGUCGUUCCAUCAGAAAUGAGCUCCGUCACCGUGGUAACAGCCAGACAGCACAGUGGUGGAACGAGGAAGACUCUGAUGGUGAAGAAGACGGAGAGGACCAAGUGGUGGGGGCAGGUCUGAAGUUCUUCAUGGUUACCGCUUCUCCAGAUGUGGAUGUGGGUUUCUGCUCCAAACACACAACGCUACAGCAUCUCCUCCCUUUGGUUUAUGGAGAGUCAUCCGUCUGUUCUCACAGCAGAUCUCGUCUAUAAUGGAGUUCCUCUGUUAGGUCCGAACCAGAUCAGGUGAGCUUUCACACCUGCAGAACCCAGAGGACCAUCAAAGAACCAGAACCAGAACCAGCCUUGGGCUAAACCAGGAUCAGCCAGAGGGAAACCACCCUAAAAUGGACUCACGUUUGAGUCGAUGUCUGAGCAUCUUCUUAAAAUCCACAGAAAAUGAAAAUACUUCAUGUUUGUGGAGGAACUUCA